GUGAGGAAUUUUCCGCAAUGGGCGAAAGCCUGACGGAGCAAUGCCGCGUGAAGGAUGAAGGCCUAUGGGUUGUAAACUUCUUUUCUCAGAAAAGAAUUAUGACGGUAUCUGAGGAAUAAGCAUCGGCUAACUCUGUGCCAGCAGCCGCGGUAAGACAGAGGAUGCAAGCGUUAUCCGGAAUGAUUGGGCGUAAAGCGUCUGUAGGUUGUUUAAAAAGUAUUCUGUCAAAGAUUAGGGCUUAACCCUAGAUAGGCAGAAUAAACUUUUAAGCUAGAGUGUGGUAGAGGCAGAGGGAAUUCCCGGUGGAGCGGUGAAAUGCGUAGAUAUCGGGAGGAACACCAAAGGCGAAGGCACUCUGCUGGGCCAAUACUAACACUGAGAGACGAAAGCGAGGGGAGCAAAUGGGAUUAGAAACCGAGUAGUCC
rnacentral:rRNA from 1 species